rnacentral:lncRNA from 10 species
ACUCUGAAGGGCUGGGAACUCCGGUUUCUACAUUCUAUUUGGUGUUUCCAUGGAUAUUGUAACACCUGAAUGGCCAUUAAGGUGAGUGCACCCAUGUUCAGGGCAGGAAAACACCUGCCAAACUGGCUGCAGCAUUCAGGAAACUCCACCAAGCUUUUCGAUGAGUUCACAUUGCACUGCCUGAACACAACCGCUGGGGUGGGUUCCUUCUCCUUGAGACUGCAUUUUAGAAUGUCAGUUACACCAGGUCUCCUUUGAGUGAGGAAGUGGGAGACACAUUAGAAACCCAAGGAGACCAGCUUCCUCUUCUCAGACAACCCCAAGCAACAGCACAAUUGGAUGUCAGACAAAGGGUCAUUUUUACCUCCCCUCUUCCCAUCCACGGCUCCAACUACAGGAGCAUCACCAUUAGGGAGGGGUAAGGGGCACACCUUAAGCAGGUUUGAGAUGUCAGCGGCUGACAGCCUGCCUUGUCUCCAUCAGGAAGGCAGCAAUAAGACAAAAACCAACAAUCUGGGCUGUGGAGUCUGAGCCUGACCACCCCCAGGUGAUGCAAGCCAGGAGGUUGCCUUGACUUGGUCUUGACCCGGGUCUAC